rnacentral:rRNA from 1 species
GACGAACGCUGGCGGCGUGCUUAACACAUGCAAGUCGAACGGAAAGGCCCUGCUUUUGUGGGGUGCUCGAGUGGCGAACGGGUGAGUAACACGUGAGUAACCUGCCCUUGACUUUGGGAUAACUUCAGGAAACUGGGGCUAAUACCGGAUAGGAGCUCCUGCUGCAUGGUGGGGGUUGGAAAGUUUCGGCGGUUGGGGAUGGACUCGCGGCUUAUCAGCUUGUUGGUGGGGUAGUGGCUUACCAAGGCUGUGACGGGUAGCCGGCCUGAGAGGGUGACCGGCCACAUUGGGACUGAGAUAAGGCCCAGACUCCUACGGGAGGCAGCAGUGGGGAAUAUUGCACAAUGGGCGGAAGCCUGAUGCAGCAACGCCGCGUGCGGGAUGACGGCCUUCGGGUUGUAAACCGCUUUCGCCUGUGACGAAGCGUGAGUGACGGUAAUGGGUAAAGAAGCACCGGCUAACUACGUG